AACGAACGCUGGCGGCAGGCCUAACACAUGCAAGUCGAGCGAGGACUUCGGUUCUAGCGGCGGACGGGUGAGUAACGCGUGGGAAUGUGCCCUUCUCUACGGAAUAGCCCUGGGAAACUGGGAGUAAUACCGUAUACGCCCUAUUGGGGAAAGAUUUAUCGGAGAAGGAUCAGCCCGCGUUGGAUUAGGUAGUUGGUGGGGUAAUGGCCUACCAAGCCGACGAUCCAUAGCUGGUUUGAGAGGAUGAUCAGCCACACUGGGACUGAGACACGGCCCAGACUCCUACUGGAGGCAGCAGUGGGGAAUCUUAGACAAUGGGGGCAACCCUGAUCUAGCCAUGCCGCGUGAGUGAUGAAGGCCUUAGGGUUGUAAAGCUCUUUCAGCUGGGAAGAUAAUGACGGUACCAGCAGAAGAAGCCCCGGCUAACUCCGUG
rnacentral:rRNA from 1 species